GCAGGCUGCAACUCGCCUGCAUGAAGUUGGAAUUACUAGUAAUCGCGAAUCAGAAUGUCGCGGUGAAUACGUUCCCGGGCCUUGUACACACCGCCCGUCACACCAUGAGAGUCGAUAACACCCGAAGCCUGUGAGCUAACCGUAAGGAGGCAGCAGUCGAAGGUGGGGUUGAUGAUUGGGGUGAAGUCGUAACAAGGUAGC
rnacentral:rRNA from 1 species